AGCGUGUUGCGGUGAACGUGUGAAUCGUCAAGGUGUUGCAGUGAACGUGUGAAUCGUUGUGAACGUGUGAAUCGUUGUCAGCGUGUUGCGGUGAACGUGUGAAUCGUUGUCAGCGUGUUGCGGUGAACGUGUGAAUCGUUGUCAAUGUGUUGCGGUGAACGUGUGACUCAUCAGCAUUUUGUGCGUGUUGCGGUGAACGUGUGAAUCGUUGUCAGCGUUUUGCAGUUAACGUGUGAAUCGUUGUGAACGUGUGAAUCGUUGUCAGCGUGUUGCGGUGAACGUGUGAAUAGUUGUGAACGUGUGAAUCGUCAGCGUGUUGCGGUGAACGUGUGAAUCGUCAAUGUAUUGCGGUGAACGUGUGAAUCGUCAACGUAUUGCGGUGAACGUGUGAAUCGUUGUGAACGUGUGAAUCGUUGUCAGCGUGUUGCGGUGAACGUGUGAAUUGUUGUGAACGUGUGAAUCGUUGUCAGCGUGUUGCGGUGAACGUGUGAAUCGUUGUCAAUGUGUUGCGGUGAACGUGUGAAUCAUAGGCAUUGUCGUGUUGCGGUGAACGUGUGAAUCGUCAGCGUGUUGCGGUGAACGUGUGAAUCGUCAACGUGUUGCGGUGAACGUGUGAAUCGUCAACGUGUUGCGGUGAACGUGUGAAUCGUGAACGUGUUGCGGUGAACGUGUGAAUCGCGAACGUGUUGCGGUGAACGUGUGAAUCAUGAACGUGUGAAUCAUCAGCGUGUUGCGGUGAACGUGUGAAUCAUUAGCGUUUUGCGGUGAACGAGUGAAUCAUUAUCAACGUUUUGCGGUGAACGUGUGAAUCGUCAACGUGUUGUGGUGAACGUGUGAAUCGUUAGCGUUUUGCGGUGAAAGUGUGAAUCGUCAGCGUUUUGCGGUGAACGUGUGAAUCGUUGUGAACGUGUGAAUCGUUGUCAGCGUGUUGCUGUUAACGUGUGAAUUGUUGUGAACGUGUGAAUCGUUGUCAGCAUGUUGCGGUGAACGUGUGAAUCAUGAACGUGUUGCGGUGAACGUGUGAAUCGUUGUCAACGUGUUGCGGUGAACGUGUGAAUCGUUGUCAAUGUGUUGCGGUGAACAUGUGAAUC